rnacentral:SRP_RNA from 1 species
GCAUGGUGGCACAUGCCUGUAAUCCCAGCUACUUGGGAGGCUGAGGCAGGGGAAUUGCUUGAACCCGGGAGGCAGAGGUUGCGGUGAACUGAGAUUGCGCCACUGCAUUCCAGCCUGGCGACAGAGCAAGACUUUGUCUCAGAAAAAAAAAUAAAAAAAUAAAAAAGUCGUAUGUCUUGUGUCCAUGGCUUUAAUAUGGUGACCUCUCGGGAGAGGGGGACCACCAGCUUGCUUAAGGUGGAGUGAACCAGCCCAGGUUGGAAACAGAGCAGCUCAAAACUUGCGUGCUGAUUAGUAGUGUGAUUGUGCCUAUGAAAAGCCACUGCACUCCAACCUGGGCAACAUAGUGAGACUCUGUCUCU